UAUUAAAAAAUUGAUUCAUUUCUAAUGUUAAAAACUGGUUUGGUUGAUGAAAUAACUAGAUAAUGACAUAUGGCGUGUCACAUGCACCUCAUGCUGAUGUAUAACACUAGUUUUUUUUAACUAUAGAAAUGGAUGAUUUUUUUAAUA
rnacentral:pre_miRNA from 1 species